GGGAAACUGCCUGAUGGAGGGGGAUAACUACUGGAAACGGUAGCUAAUACCGCAUAACGUCGCAAGACCAAAGAGGGGGACCUUCGGGCCUCUUGCCAUCGGAUGUGCCCAGAUGGGAUUAGCUAGUAGGUGGGGUAACGGCUCACCUAGGCGACGAUCCCUAGCUGGUCUGAGAGGAUGACCAGCCACACUGGAACUGAGACACGGUCCAGACUCCUACGGGAGGCAGCAGUGGGGAAUAUUGCACAAUGGGCGCAAGCCUGAUGCAGCCAUGCCGCGUGUAUGAAGAAGGCCUUCGGGUUGUAAAGUACUUUCAGCGGGGAGGAAGGCGAUAAGGUUAAUAACCUUGUCGAUUGACGUUACCCGCAGAAGAAGCACCGGCUAACUCCGUGCCAGCAGCCGCGGUAAUACGGAGGGUGCAAGCGUUAAUCGGAAUUACUGGGCGUAAAGCGCACGCAGGCGGUCUGUCAAGUCGGAUGUGAAAUCCCCGGGCUCAACCUGGGAACUGCAUUCGAAACUGGCAGGCUAGAGUCUUGUAGAGGGGGGUAGAAUUCCAGGUGUAGCGGUGAAAUGCGUAAAGAUCUGGAGGAAUACCGGUGGCGAAGGCGGCCCCCUGGACAAAGACUGACGCUCAGGUGCGAAAGCGUGGGGGAGCAAACAGGAUUAGAUACCCUGGUUAGUCCACGCCGUUAAACGAUG
rnacentral:rRNA from 1 species